rnacentral:tRNA from 1 species
GCAAGUGUGGCCGAGUGGUUAAGGCGCGACGUUUAGGCCGUCGUUCUAACGAGCGUGGGUUCGAAUCCCACCGCUUGCA